rnacentral:rRNA from 1 species
GACGAACCGUGCGAACGUUAUUCGGAAUCACUGGGCUUAAAGGGCGCGUAGGCGGGCCAUCAAGUCAGAGGUGAAAGCCCCCGGCUCAACCGGGGAAGUGCCUUUGAUACUGAUGGUCUCGAGGGGGAUAGGGGCGUGCGGAACUUCCGGUGGAGCGGUGAAAUGCGUAGAUAUCGGAAGGAACACCGGUGGCGAAAGCGGCGCGCUGGAUCCCUUCUGACGCUGAGGCGCGAAAGCCAGGGGAGCGAACGGG